rnacentral:rRNA from 1 species
CACGUAGGGUGCGAGCGUUGUCCGGAAUUAUUGGGCGUAAAGAGCUCGUAGGCGGCCUGUCGCGUCCGCUGUGAAAUCCCGGGCUUAACCCCGGGCCGCAGCUGGAUGACGGGCAGGCUGGAGGCAGGCAGGGGAGAACGGAAUCCCGGUGUAGCGGUGAAUGCGCAGAUAUCGGGAGGAACACCGGUGGCGAAGGCGGUUCUCUGGGCCUGUACUGACGCUGAG